UACGGGGGGAGCAAGCGUUGUUCGGAUUUACUGGGCGUAAAGGGCGCGUAGGCGGUCAGCACAAGUCAGUUGUGAAAUCUCCGGGCUUAACUCGGAAAGGUCAACUGAUACUGUGCGACUAGAGUGCGGAAGGGGCAACUGGAAUUCUCGGUGUAGCGGUGAAAUGCGUAGAUAUCGAGAGGAACACCUGCGGCGAAGGCGGGUUGCUGGGCUGACACUGACGCUGAUGCGCGAAAGCCAGGGGAGCAAACGGG
rnacentral:rRNA from 1 species